rnacentral:rRNA from 1 species
AAGACCUUGCGCUUUUGGAGCGGCCGAUGUCUGAUUAGCUAGUUGGUGGGGUAAUGGCCUACCAAAGCUUCGAUCAGUAGCUGGUCUGAGAGGACGGCCAGCCACACUGGGACUGAGACACGGCCCAGACUCCUACGGGAGGCAGCAGUGGGGAAUUUUGGACAAUGGGCGCAAGCCUGAUCCAGCCAUGCCGCGUGAGUGAAGAAGGCCUUCGGGUUGUAAAGCUCUUUCAGCCGGGAAGAAAAGGCUGCGACUAAUAAUCGCAGUUCAUGACGGUACCGGAAGAAGAAGCACCGGCUAACUACGUGCCAGCAGCCGCGGUAAUACGUAGGGUGCGAGCGUUAAUCGGAAUUACUGGGCGUAAAGGGUGCGCAGGCGGUUUUGUAAGUCAGAUGUGAAAUCCCCGGGCUUAACCUGGGAAACU